UUUAUAGUGCUGGAGGCUGAAGUUCUGUAUUUAUUCACAGAGCAGAUACAGCAUGGGAAGCGGCUCUGCAAUGUCCCUGUUUGCCUAAACCCUGACCUGGAGGGACCCCCACUGAGAAUCAGAGGUUAGUUCAGUCUUCAUUUGACUUGUUCUCUCUAUUAAGACU
ensembl:misc_RNA